UGUUUCGGCAAGGGGGUCAUCCCGACUUACCAACCCGAUGCAAACUGCGAAUACCGGAGAAUGUUAUCACGGGAGACACACGGCGGGUGCUAACGUCCGUCGUGAAGAGGGAAACAACCCAGACCGCCAGCUAAGGUCCCAAAGUCAUGGUUAAGUGGGAAACGAUGUGGGAAGGCCCAGACAGCCAGGAUGUUGGCUUAGAAGCAGCCAUCAUUUAAAGAAAGCGUAAUAGCUCACUGGUCGAGUCGGCCUGCGCGGAAGAUGUAACGGGGCUAAACCAUGCACCGAAGCUGCGGCAGCGACGCUUAUGCGUUGUUGGGUAGGGGAGCGUUCUGUAAGCCUGUGAAGGUGUACUGUGAGGUAUGCUGGAGGUAUCAGAAGUGCGAAUGCUGACAUAAGUAACGAUAAAGCGGGUGAAAAGCCCGCUCGCCGGAAGACCAAGGGUUCCUGUCCAACGUUAAUCGGGGCAGGGUGAGUCGACCCCUAAGGCGAGGCCGAAAGGCGUAGUCGAUGGGAAACAGGUUAAUAUUCCUGUACUUGGUGUUACUGCGAAGGGGGGACGGAGAAGGCUAUGUUGGCCGGGCGACGGUUGUCCCGGUUUAAGCGUGUAGGCUGGUUUUCCAGGCAAAUCCGGAAAAUCAAGGCUGAGGCGUGAUGACGAGGCACUACGGUGCUGAAGCAACAAAUGCCCUGCUUCCAGGAAAAGCCUCUAAGCAUCAGGUAACAUCAAAUCGUACCCCAAACCGACACAGGUGGUCAGGUAGAGAAUACCAAGGCGCUUGAGAGAACUCGGGUGAAGGAACUAGGCAAAAUGGUGCCGUAACUUCGGGAGAAGGCACGCUGAUAUGUAGGUGAAGCGACUUGCUCGUGGAGCUGAAAUCAGUCGAAGAUACCAGCUGGCUGCAACUGUUUAUUAAAAACACAGCACUGUGCAAACACGAAAGUGGACGUAUACGGUGUGACGCCUGCCCGGUGCCGGAAGGUUAAUUGAUGGGGUCAGCGCAAGCGAAGCUCUUGAUCGAAGCCCCGGUAAACGGCGGCCGUAACUAUAACGGUCCUAAGGUAGCGAAAUUCCUUGUCGGGUAAGUUCCGACCUGCACGAAUGGCGUAAUGAUGGCCAGGCUGUCUCCACCCGAGACUCAGUGAAAUUGAACUCGCUGUGAAGAUGCAGUGUACCCGCGGCAAGACGGAAAGACCCCGUGAACCUUUACUAUAGCUUGACACUGAACAUUGAGCCUUGAUGUGUAGGAUAGGUGGGAGGCUUUGAAGUGUGGACGCCAGUCUGCAUGGAGCCGACCUUGAAAUACCACCCUUUAAUGUUUGAUGUUCUAACGUUGACCCGUAAUCCGGGUUGCGGACAGUGUCUGGUGGGUAGUUUGACUGGGGCGGUCUCCUCCUAAAGAGUAACGGAGGAGCACGAAGGUUGGCUAAUCCUGGUCGGACAUCAGGAGGUUAGUGCAAUGGCAUAAGCCAGCUUGACUGCGAGCGUGACGGCGCGAGCAGGUGCGAAAGCAGGUCAUAGUGAUCCGGUGGUUCUGAAUGGAAGGGCCAUCGCUCAACGGAUAAAAGGUACUCCGGGGAUAACAGGCUGAUACCGCCCAAGAGUUCAUAUCGACGGCGGUGUUUGGCACCUCGAUGUCGGCUCAUCACAUCCUGGGGCUGAAGUAGGUCCCAAGGGUAUGGCUGUUCGCCAUUUAAAGUGGUACGCGAGCUGGGUUUAGAACGUCGUGAGACAGUUCGGUCCCUAUCUGCCGUGGGCGCUGGAGAACUGAGGGGGGCUGCUCCUAGUACGAGAGGACCGGAGUGGACGCAUCACUGGUGUUCGGGUUGUCAUGCCAAUGGCACUGCCCGGUAGCUAAAUGCGGAAGAGAUAAGUGCUGAAAGCAUCUAAGCACGAAACUUGCCCCGAGAUGAGUUCUCCCUGACUCCUUGAGAGUCCUGAAGGAACGUUGAAGACGACGACGUUGAUAGGCCGGGUGUGUAAGCGCAGCGAUGCGUUGAGCUAACCGGUACUAAUGAACCGUGAGGCUUAACCUUACAACGCCGAAG
rnacentral:rRNA from 1 species